CGCUGCGGCGUGCUUACACAUGCAAGUCGAACGCUGAAGCACCAGCUUGCUGGUGUGGAUGAGUGGCGAACGGGUGAGUAAUACGUGAGUAACCUGCCCUUGACUCUGGGAUAAGCCCGGGAAACUGGGUCUAAUACUGGAUGCUACAUGUCACCGCAUGGUGGGGUGUGGAAAGGGUUUACUGGUCUUGGAUGGGCUCACGGCCUAUCAGCUUGUUGGUGAGGUAAUGGCUCACCAAGGCGACGACGGGUAGCCGGCCUGAGAGGGUGACCGGCCACACUGGGACUGAGACACGGCCCAUACUCCUACGGGAGGCAGCAGUGGGGAAUAUUGCACAAUGGGCGAAAGCCUGAUGCAGCGACGCCGCGUGAGGGAUGACGGCCUUCGGGUUGUAAACCUCUUUCAGCAGGGAAGAAGCCACAAGUGACGGUACCUGCAAAAGAAGCGCCGGCUAACUACGUGCCAGCAGCCGCGGUAAUACGUAGGGCGCAAGCGUUGUCCGGAAUUAUUGGGCGUAAAGAGCUCGUAGGCGGUUUGUCGCGUCUGCUGUGAAAGCCCGGGGCUUAACCCCGGGUGUGCAGUGGGUACGGGCAGACUAGAGUGCAGUAGGGGAGACUGGAAUUCCUGGUGUAGCGGUGGAAUGCGCAUAUAUCAGGAGGAACACCGAUGGCGAAGGCAGGUCUCUGGGCUGUUACUGACGCUGAGGAGCGAAAGCAUGGGGAGCGAACAGGAUUAGAUACCCUGGUAGUCCAUGCCGUAAACGUUGGGCACUAGGUGUGGGGGACAUUCCACGUUUUCCGCGCCGUAGCUAACGCAUUAAGUGCCCCGCCUGGGGAGUACGGCCGCAAGGCUAAAACUCAAAGGAAUUGACGGGGGCCCGCACAAGCGGCGGAGCAUGCGGAUUAAUUCGAUGCAACGCGAAGAACCUUACCAGGGCUUGACAUAUACCGGAUCGUUCCAAAGAUGGUUCUUCCCCUUUGGGGUCGGAAUACAGGGGGCUGCAUGGUUGUCGCCACCUCGUGUCGGGAAAUGUUGGGGUUAAGUCCCCCCAACAAACCGCAACCGUUCUUUCCAUGUUGCCACCCACUUGAUGGGGGGGGAUUCAUGGGAAAACUGGCGGGGUUCACCUCCGAAGGAAGGG
rnacentral:rRNA from 1 species